rnacentral:lncRNA from 1 species
GGGCUGCCUGUUUGGAUCCUGGAAACUUGCAUCAAUACGUCAUUUUGUGUGACUAAAGUAAGCAGAAUGCGUCCAAAGCACUGGCCAGUUACGGACCUCAAUCUGCCUCCAUUCGCAGGCAAUGUCACUCUCAGGAAAACAGGUUUUGGGUUGAUCCAGAGGCUCUUUUCAAUGGGACUUUCAUCACUGAUUUCAUCUGACAGUGGCUCAUGCUAAAGGUCCCCAUUCUCUCUUAUAACUUCCCCCAACAGACACCAGCAGCUGAUCUCCUUCACAGACUUGAAUAUCAGAAAGCCAAAAAUCUUGCAAAUUUCUUUUGCAUCCUCAUGAUAAACUUCUCCACUCUCCACCCUCACCUCAUGGCAGUGGGGCAACCAUGAUGCCAAUAACUCCCAGAGUUCCUCUGCUGGGAGGGGAAAAAGGAAGGAAUGGGAUGUUGUGGCAGAUGCAAAAGCUCUGCACUUCUGGCAGUAUAAAACUACAUAUUUACACUGCAAAAUCCUACAAGAUGCAGCUCCAGCAGUUCAAGGGCAAAAGACAGGGAGAAUCCAGCAAACAAUUUCCUUCUUGAGCUUCAAUGCUCUCUGAUACAAUCAGGACAGUAGGAGUGAUUGACUAGUUUGGUGGACUUGAUAAAAAUGCUUUGGGAAUUAGAAGGUUUUGUCAAAGAGAAUCAGUUAGAGGAAGCAAAAAGGAGCAAUGCCCUAACCUCCUGAACUGCAUUACACACAGCUGCCUACAGCAUCCUCACUGACACAGAACAAAACCAGGAAAUGCAAGAAUGUUGAAUUCUUUGCUAUAUGCUAAAAAAUUAAUUCUUUUCACAGGUAUGUGGCAAAUUACCAUUCCUCCACUGUUUUUUUUUCUUUUUCACAGACUCUACUUUUGUAUUUCCAAUUUGCUUACUUUCUUGAAGUUCACUGAUAAUAUGUGCUUGAGUUGCUUGUAGUAACAGCAUAAAAACCUUCAUGAAAGGACAAAUUGAACGUGAUUAUGCUACUAACGAAAGUAGGGGAAUUGCUUCUGGAGACUUCAUCUACAGCUCACAGCACAACAAUGGUCCUGCUGCAGGCUGCAGGAGGAGGAGGGGAGGGACGCAUCUUUCCCAGGACAACUUUUCCAUGAGCCGUGGACCUAAGGCAAGCGUGGAUUUUAAGGCCGGGAGGUAUUUAUUUCUGGAGGAAGGAUGGGAUUAAAAGAAGAUUAAAAUGAUCAACCAUCUCCAGCAUUUCACUAUCAAUCCAGUUCUUGAUCUUCAUGAAGAAUGUAGCCUUGAAAAAAAUAUUUGCCAAAAAUAUAGAAAGCCAAAAUUUUAAUUAUUAUGUCUCUGCCUGUUUCUAAUACUGUUCACUUAGAAAACAACAUAAUGAAACGUUUCAUUACCCCUUACUAGCUGCUGAGAAAAUUCUGGAGUUACAUUGAAACAUCAAGCUUUCAAAUGACUGCAACUUCUAUCAAAUACUUCUAAAGACAACAAAAAAUGUCUCCAUUAGAAAUACAAAAACAUUUUGUGACCAAUACUCUCCCAGGAAGGUUUAUUAUAGUUCUAAAGUCAAUUCCAGCUAGUUGGGGGUUUUUUUCAGAUAUCAACUAAACCGUAUUGUGAGAAAAGUAUAAAGAAUUUUUUUUUUCCUUAGAUUUUUAUUUUAAUCACCUAAAAAUCAUUCUUAUGGAAAUGAGAAAGACAAAAAGAUUCCCCAGGGACUGAGAAACUUCACUGAUUUGCAUCAUUAACACUGAAAAGAACUUGCCUGGAAAUGGCCCCUUCACGUUUUCUUUUAUUUACAUUUCCAGACAAAUACAAAAUUAAUUUCAACAAGAAGGUUUCUUGUAGAUUCCUAUCCCAUUUUGAUUAGUCUAGCCAUUAAAACAUGAAUAUAGCUUGCUGUGCUUUGAUUUAGUCUUUGUUACACCGCAAUUCUUAAAUUUUUAAAAAUUUUUUAUUUUUUUAGUUUUUACUUCAUUUAUAAAGGGUUUGCAACAUGGGGGCUCUGAGUGAUCAUUGACUGUAUUAACAUUCAUAAUUAACACCAGUAAUUAUUAAGACGCUUUUGGAACAAUUACCAUUUGUGGCAUGGAAUGAGAGAAAAGUGACAUUCAUUUAACAAAACUCUAGUUUCCAUUUAACAAGUCUGUCCAAGCAUAAGCAAAAAUGAAAAAAAAACCCAAAUCUGAGCACACUAAAUAUAUAUUUAAAUGCAGAUAAAUUUCUAUGAUAAAGUAGUUCUUUCAAGGCUCAGAUCAAAAUUUUAAACAGUUUACCUUCUUUGUGUCUUCUGAAGAGUUUUACGUAACAAACUUUCAGUGUCAUCACUAAUAGCAGUUCAUGCCAAGGAUUACUUUCUUAAAACUGCUACUCAAGCCCGGUGAUUUGCAGUACACUUCUUAUUACAGGAUACAUUAUGCAGAAACCCUCUGCUAUGUGAUGGGACAUGGCAACCCUGCUGUGAGAAUGCCUAUCAGCGCUUCUUUUAAGGCCCUUUCUCAAUUGUCAGCAAAGUAUUUUUUAAGGUUAAAAGGUGUAAAAUUAUUCUGAAACGCUUUUCUGACCUGUCGCCUAUCACUGCAAAAAGCUAUAGUUCAUUUUUUUUCUAAAAUUGUAUUUUUAAAAUGUGAUAUUAUAAGAAUAAAGCUAGUAAGAAAAAUAUCA